UGCUGCAUGGCUGUCGUCAGCUCGUGUCGUGAGAUGUUGGGUUUAAGUCCCGUAACGAGCGCAACCCUUGUCCUUAGUUACCAGCACGUUAUGGUGGGCACUCUAAGGAGACUGCCGGUGACAAACCGGAGGAAGGUGGGGGAUGACGUCAAGUCAUCAUGGCCCUUACGGCCUGGGCUACACACGUGCUACAAUGGUCGGUACAAAGGGUUGCCAAGCCGCGAGGUGGAGCUAAUCCCAUAAAACCGAUCGUAGUCCGGAUCGCAGUCUGCAACUCGACUGCGUGAAGUCGGAAUCGCUAGUAAUCGUGAAUCAGAAUGUCACGGUGAAUACGUUCCCGGGCCUU
rnacentral:rRNA from 1 species